rnacentral:misc_RNA from 1 species
GAUGAAGAACGUAGCGAAAUGCGAUAAGUAGUGUGAAUUGCAGAAUUCAGUGAAUCAUCGAAUCUUUGAACGCACAUUGCGCCCGGCAGUACUCUGCCGGGCAUGCCUGUUCGAGCGUCAUUUCAACCCUCAAGCCCUGCUUGGUGUUGGGGUCCCACGGCCGCCGUGGGCCCUGAAAGGAAGUGGCGGGCUCGCUACAACUCCGAGCGUAGUAAUUCAUUAUCUCGCUUAGGGCGUUGGGCGGCGCUCCUGCCGUUAAAGAACCAUCUUUAACUCAAGGUUGACCUCGGAUCAGGUAGGAAUACCCGCUGAACUUAAGCAUAUCAAUAAGCGGAGGA